rnacentral:rRNA from 1 species
UACAGAGGGUGCGAGCGUUGUCCGGAAUCACUGGGCGUAAAGGGCGCGUAGGUGGCCCGACAAGUCAGUGGUGAAAGCUCGACGCUCAACGUCGAGUCGGCCACUGAUACUGUUGGGCUGGAGCACUGUAGAGGCAGAUGGAAUUCCGGGUGUAGCGGUGGAAUGCGUAGAGAUCCGGAAGAACACCGGUGGCGAAGGCGGUCUGCUGGGCAGUUGCUGACACUGAGGCGCGACAGCGUGGGGAGCAAACAGG